rfam:Taenia asiatica genome assembly, scaffold: TASK_scaffold0002205
GCUUGGAUAGCUCAGUCGGCAGAGCAUCAGACUUUUAGUCUGAGGGUGCAGGGUUCAAGUCCCUGUUCGGGCG